rnacentral:rRNA from 1 species
GAGUUUGAUCCUGGCUCAGAACGAACGCUGGCGGCGUGCUUAACACAUGCAAGUCGAACGUGAUCCGGAGCUUGCUCCGGUGAAAGUGGCGCACGGGUGAGUAACGCGUGGAUAAUCUGCCCUGGUAUCUGGGAUAACAUCUCGAAAGGGGUGCUAAUACCGGAUAAGCCUACGGACUCCUCGGAGUCUGCAGGAAAAGGAGGCCUCUAUUUAUAAGCUUCCGUAUCAUGAUGGGUCCGCGUACCAUUAGCUAGUUGGUGGGGUAAUGGCCUACCAAGGCGACGAUGGUUAGCUGGUCUGAGAGGAUGAUCASCCACACUGGAACUGAGACACGGUCCAGACUCCUACGGGAGGCAGCAGUGGGGAAUUUUGCGCAAUGGGGGAAACCCUGACGCAGCAACGCCGCGUGAGUGAUGAAGGCUUUCGGGUCGUAAAGCUCUGUCAGAGGGGAAGAAAUGAGUCUGGCUAAUAUCCAGAUUUCUUGACGGUACCCUCAAAGGAAGCACCGGCUAACUCCGUGCCAGCAGCCGCGGUAAUAC